rnacentral:tRNA from 1 species
GCUUUUAAAGGAUAAUAGUUUAUCUAUUGGUCUUAGGAACCAAAGACUCUUGGUGCAAAUCCAAGUAAAAGCU